rnacentral:lncRNA from 1 species
CACUGCUUAGGCCUCUCUUCUCUUUUGCCUGAGAUACUUUAACCAAAUAUGGAAUGAUGCUAAUAUACAUGUAUAUCCUUCAUUGUUAUGGUUAAGGUUGCAGUCUUAAAACAGGUUCAACAUGUAUGUAGCUAGAAGAAAAAAUGUACACGUAUUGUUUCCUGUAAUGCCAUGUUAUUUGGAACCACAUUUAAAGCUAGUGGUUUGUUGCUGAGGGACUUCCUGUGGUUAAUAAGUGGAACCCUCCAUUACAGUGCUUAUGAUGGAUAUAUUGGAAUGUGUUUAUGAUAGGGCAUAAAAGUAAGUGUAUCAUGUCUUGUCAAAUGAAAUCUACCCUCUAUGAAUCAUUUGAAUUGGAAAUACAAAGACAUUUUUUAACUGCAAUUUGUCAAAUCAAAUGGGGUGUUAUCGAGUGAUUCUGAUCACCACUUUGCAAGUUUGACAUUACUAAUACGUUUCAAAUAAUUGUCCCUCAAAAUAAUUUUAUAGUUUAUCCUUCCGGUUCCCUCACCAUGAUCUUUUAAUCUGUAAAUGGCUUUAGAUCGGCGAGAAGUAAUCCGGCCAUCUUGAAUUCCAAAGAGAGGUGUUUUUCUCUGCUUGUAGAGGCAGUGGUAGCAAGACAGACAGAGGUUUUAAACUAGGUGGAAAGAACUUGAGGAAUGAGGAGAGACACAGAGAGCUAGAGAGAAUGAGGAGAUAAGCAGAUGGUUAGUGUCUGAGAUGACACCUGUAUAUCUCAUUUCAGUAAACCACAGUACAUAUGAAUUGCCUGGGCUUGAGCCCUUUUGUGUUGGUGACCAGUGUCAGGAUUCACCUUGGCUCAGAGGUGAGUUAGUGUGUGUACCACCGUGGCUAUUUUAGGACCAGCGCACCAGCUUAGUAGCACUGCCUGUGUGUGUGUGUGUGUGGUGUGUCUGCGUGCGUGUGGAAAAACUAAAGCACCUCCAAUAUGGCUUCACCCCACAACCCCGGUCUUCUUCCUCAAUAAGCUGCUUUAGAGUUCUUCUAUGCAACAGUGCAGAAACACCGAACACAGAUCUUUCACAUUAUGCUUACUUGGCACAGUCUUGUUAUAACAGAGCAUAAAGAGUGUGGAAAUACAAUGUAAUUGCUUUACAAAUUGUAUUGUGACAAAGCUGAAUGCAAAUUACCUAAAGUAGAGCACUUUAGAGUUGAAAGAGGUUAGCUAUAAACAAUGGUUUGUUGUUGUACUUAAGUGCCCAGAUACAUUAGAAAAAAGGUUUUGCCUUUCACAGUACAAGUCCUUAAACAUCUCUUUAGUGUGUGAAUAUAGCGUGAAAGACUUUUAUAAAACACUCCGUUUGGUCAAAACACUUAGGUUCAUUUUGUGUUUAAGAACAUUGUCAAAAAGGCAGUCCUUUUUGAUACGCAACAUUGUAGGUGAAAUUAAAUCUCCAAACUACCCAAUGUGUCAUGUUUAAACACAAAACUGGUGCAGUACACAUUGCAGUGCAAAAGAGCGUUUUAUGCCUCAAUUUUGAAUGUUUAAAAAGGGAUCUGCUACCCUCAUGAUUCAUUGGUGUUAUUCACAUAUUGAAAGUAAGUGUUUCAUGCAUUAGCCUACUUUAUUCUUCUUUUAAUAAAGAUGGGUGAAUUUAGUGAGAAUGAGUUUUCAACCAUUGUUUGGACACCUCUUCAUAUUGCAAAAACAAUUAAAUUACUACUUGAGUGAG